UCCCAAAAUAUAUGUUAAGUGGAAAAGGAUGUGGCGUUGCCCAGACAACUAGGAUGUUGGCUUAGAAGCAGCCAUCAUUUAAAGAGUGCGUAAUAGCUCACUAGUCGAGUGACACUGCGCCGAAAAUGUACCGGGGCUAAACAUAUUACCGAAGCUGUGGAUUGUCCUUUGGACAAUGGUAGGAGAGCGUUCUAAGGGCGUUGAAGCAUGAUCGUAAGGACAUGUGGAGCGCUUAGAAGUGAGAAUGCCGGUGUGAGUAGCGAAAGACGGGUGAGAAUCCCGUCCACCGAUUGACUAAGGUUUCCAGAGGAAGGCUCGUCCGCUCUGGGUUAGUCGGGUCCUAAGCUGAGGCCGACAGGCGUAGGCGAUGGAUAACAGGUUGAUAUUCCUGUACCACCUAUAAUCGUUUUAAUCGAUGGGGGGACGCAGUAGGAUAGGCGAAGCGUGCGAUUGGAUUGCACGUCUAAGCAGUAAGGCUGAGUAUUAGGCAAAUCCGGUACUCGUUAAGGCUGAGCUGUGAUGGGGAGAAGACAUUGUGUCUUCGAGUCGUUGAUUUCACACUGCCGAGAAAAGCCUCUAGAUAGAAAAUAGGUGCCCGUACCGCAAACCGACACAGGUAGUCAAGAUGAGAAUUCUAAGGUGAGCGAGCGAACUCUCGUUAAGGAACUCGGCAAAAUGACCCCGUAACUUCGGGAGAAGGGGUGCUCUUUAGGGUUAACGCCCAGAAGAGCCGCAGUGAAUAGGCCCAAGCGACUGUUUAUCAAAAACACAGGUCUCUGCUAAACCGUAAGGUGAUGUAUAGGGGCUGACGCCUGCCCGGUGCUGGAAGGUUAAGAGGAGUGGUUAGCUUCUGCGAAGCUACGAAUCGAAGCCCCAGUAAACGGCGGCCGUAACUAUAACGGUCCUAAGGUAGCGAAAUUCCUUGUCGGGUAAGUUCCGACCCGCACGAAAGGCGUAACGAUUUGGGCACUGUCUCAACGAGAGACUCGGUGAAAUCAUAGUACCUGUGAAGAUGCAGGUUACCCGCGACAGGACGGAAAGACCCCGUGGAGCUUUACUGUAGCCUGAUAUUGAAAUUCGGCACAGCUUGUACAGGAUAGGUAGGAGCCUUUGAAACGUGAGCGCUAGCUUACGUGGAGGCGCUGGUGGGAUACUACCCUAGCUGUGUUGGCUUUCUAACCCGCACCACUUAUCGUGGUGGGAGACAGUGUCAGGCGGGCAGUUUGACUGGGGCGGUCGCCUCCUAAAAGGUAACGGAGGCGCUCAAAGGUUCCCUCAGAAUGGUUGGAAAUCAUUCAUAGAGUGUAAAGGCAUAAGGGAGCUUGACUGCGAGACCUACAAGUCGAGCAGGGUCGAAAGACGGACUUAGUGAUCCGGUGGUUCCGCAUGGAAGGGCCAUCGCUCAACGGAUAAAAGCUACCCCGGGGAUAACAGGCUUAUCUCCCCCAAGAGUUCACAUCGACGGGGAGGUUUGGCACCUCGAUGUCGGCUCAUCGCAUCCUGGGGCUGUAGUCGGUCCCAAGGGUUGGGCUGUUCGCCCAUUAAAGCGGUACGCGAGCUGGGUUCAGAACGUCGUGAGACAGUUCGGUCCCUAUCCGUCGUGGGCGUAGGAAAUUUGAGAGGAGCUGUCCUUAGUACGAGAGGACCGGGAUGGACAUACCUCUGGUGUACCAGUUGUCGUGCCAACGGCAUAGCUGGGUAGCUAUGUGUGGACGGGAUAAGUGCUGAAAGCAUCUAAGCAUGAAGCCCCCCUCAAGAUGAGAUUUCCCAACUUCGGUUAUAAGAUCCCUCAAAGAUGAUGAGGUUAAUAGGUUCGAGGUGGAAGCAUGGUGACAUGUGGAGCUGACGAAUACUAAUCGAUCGAAGACUUAAUCAA
rnacentral:rRNA from 1 species